rnacentral:lncRNA from 1 species
CCCCACACCCACACACACACACACCCACAGCCCCCACACUCCCCACACCCACACCUCCCACACCACCUCAGUGGACCACCUGGUGCAUCAGGACCACCAGGGCCAGCUCCCCCAGCUCCUGGACCCUGGGAGCCAGCACACACUGGCCAGGGCAGAGCUCCUCUGCCACCCGUCCAGUACCCAGAGGGAACAGGGGUCAACACCCAGAGCCCCAGAGGAUACCCACCAGAGCCCAGGGCUGCACCUGGGCUUAGCUGCAGGGGGUGAGGGUUCUCCGGGGCGACGUGACCGGAGGCAGAAAAAGGACCUGACACUUUUCCUUUGGGGGCUUCCGUCCCCCACCCUGGGUCUUGGACACUUUUAGAAACGGGGAGGCAGAACCUUAGGGGAGAUUUGGGCUCCUUAGGUUAUCUGAAGUGACCACCUUUGGGGUGAGGAUUUCAGAGCCAGGUGACCAGGAACCGAGGCCAGGGGACAGAUGUGCUUCAGCACCACGGACAGCACCCCAUGCCCCUCGGUGACCUGAUGAGCAGGAUCCCCAUGGGAAAGCUCCACAGUGACAGGUGUGACGGUCCCUGUCCCCAGGGAAGGCGAGAGGGAGGCCCACAGCUUAUCUGCCAGAGCAGGGCCGGGCAGGAAGACCUGGCUGCCCUCGGCCUCGUCUGUCCUCUCAUUUUGCAGUUGAGAGAUGCAGACGUGGCAAGGCGAGUCAGCAAGAGGACAUGUCGGCCCUCGGAGCUGCCUGGCUCCAGGGUUUUCUAAUCAGAGGGAGAGGCACGGCCUUCGCACCCCGUGGCAGUGCCAGUCCCGACGCCGCUGCUGGCGUCUGAAGCCGGGAUUCAGGACGGGGUCUGCUCGUGAGCCGCUGGGCACGCACACAGGAAGCUGGGCACUGUGAUCGCUGACCAGAGGCCGUGCGAGUCCCCAUGGGAGCUGAGGGUGGGAGUUGUGCCCCACCUUGGGGACCCUCCCUGCUCCCAGCUCCUCCAACGAGACCUAGAAUUUGCUGCUGGCUUUUUUUUUUAAAGCACUUAAAGAACAGACCAGAACUGAUAGCUAAAUUAGACCCGCUGCGAGCGCCCGUUUAAUUGAAAAUGCCAUCUGUAAUUUAACGUCAGAGUCAGGACGUUAUUAUGGCCGCCUCGAAGGCUGGGCUCAUUUCACAGUUUCAAAACCGACCAGGAAAGGCGGCAAAUGGGCCGUGGCUGGCUGUGUCCGGGGGCCACUAAUAACUUCUCUGGUCCCACUGGGGACUCUGGCUGGGAGCUGGGACUUGUCUUGGGCUCCAGGCUUGGCCUCCUCUCUGGGCCCCUCUGGACCUCACCAGCCGCAGGGCAGCCCUUCCAGAGGCACAGCAGGUCUGGUGUCUCCAGGGUCUUCUUUUGGGUGAAAUCCCACCCUCUGGGCCUCUGCAAGGCAAGGCGGUCUGUCAGGCCUCAGCCCCUGCCACCCGCCUGCUGCAGACAGUGGUGUCCCCAGGCCUUAGUGUGGGUUGCCCGGGGACAGCCACGUUUUUCUGGUCCACUACUUACCAGUGAUGACCCAGCCCAGGGUCACCAUCUCCAGGGGGCCUUCCAGGAGUGCCCGGGGCUGUGCUUCCUGCACCCAGGCCAGCUUCCUGGUCUCCGGCGGUCCCUUGCUCACCCCCUGAGAGCUACCACAGCUGGCCUCUCUCCCAUGGGCUCCUCAGGGACUCCUUGGCACCUGGUUGCCUCUUGUCCAGGGGUAAGAGGCCAUGCCUUCUCUGUAUCUCUGGGCCCCCAAAUUCCAGCUUAAACUGCUUCGUGGAGGGAGGGCCGCCAAGUCGCCCCGCAGACCUCGGCCCACUGCCCAUCCUUGUGUUCUUUUGUGGACCCCUCCGCCCUGCGCUGUCCCCUGACCCUCUCUUCUCUGGGGGUUUCAUGCUGCAUUAAUUCCCUCAACCCCGAGAAAAACGCAGAAACUCGCUCCUAAUUGGGAGGUUUCCAUCUCCCCAGGACUCGGCCUCCUGCCUGUUCUCGACUUGUUAGAGGAAAUCGUCUAUCGACAUUGGUAUUGAUUUGCAUAAUUCAGAUAUAAUGAGGAGACAGGUCUUCUGGAGCGGCAGGUAGUGGGGCCGGCUAAGCAUAUCCCACUGACCUCGAGGAUUUUGGAACUGGGACUUUUGCGGUCACCAAGUUCACGGCCCCUGCCCUCCACCAAGCCCUGCGGACAUUGGUCCACGGAGCUUUAUCCCCCCACGAGGUCUCCAGGCAACAGGAAGCCCUCCCACCCCAGGCAUCUCCUCGCUGCCCCCCAUCUGGAAUGCUGACCACGAGCUGCCCCGGCGGACCCGCUGGGAUGAAGGGCCAUAGGCUGUCCUGGAGGUCAGCGGACACCGGGACCCUGCGGUGCCCGAGGCCCACCAUAUGGAGCAGGGAAAGGACUUCAGGGUGGCGUCGUCUUGACAAUAGGAGAAAAUAAAGAAGACACGGAGCAGUGCUCAAAGCAAGAGAGUAGGAAUCAGUGUGACCCGGUGGAUUAUGUCCCUGCUGUGAUGAAGAGCGGUGACGAGGCCUCGGGAAGAUGAGGAGCAUAACGAGGCCAGAAAUAGGGGAGCGGUGUGCGCCGGGCCUGUCCUGCCCGCAGGCACUUCCCCGGUACCUUUAUUUAUUCACCUUGUCACUCCACAAAUAUUUAUUGAGGCAAAUAGGAAAGAAUCAGGCGUUAAAGCUGGGAACAGAGUGGUCUACUGUCAUCGUUAUGGGUGAACUUGGUUCCUGCCCACUUCAGCCUCGGAGGCUGGAUUUGGACCUGGGAUUUGGGACCUGAGGCUCUGGGAAGGACGAGGACCCAGAAGACCAUAUGGUGCCUACUCUGAACUGUGCCUCUGCGUGUUUCACCUGUGAGCUGCUCCCAUCCCAGGAAGGCUACUGACGGCAAGGGGAGGGGGACACUGCUGUUCACGAUGAGCACAUGGGGGGCGGGGUGGAGCACCCCUAAUCAGGAGAGAUGUGUGGAACGGGUGAGCUUCCUGGGAAUGGGGAGGUGGAAGAUUGCUCUCAUGUCCACCCCCGCCCCCACCACUCUCACACCUCCCCAAAGAGUGGCCAUCACCAGAAGCCACCUCCAAUUUCCCCAGGGAACAAUCUCCAGGCGCCUGAUUUACUCGUUGGCUGUCACCUGGCCCUGAAUAAUAAGGCUCUUCCCGCAGGAAGGAUAUUAGAGGCUGGGACGGGAGGGGACAGGGCAGCGUGAUAUUUAUUUCCUGGGCAUUUGCUGCCAUGAAUCAUGCACCUGUCUCUAAGCUGCUCUCACACAGCUCUGCGGGCCCAGGCACAGGCCCCAAGACACUGUCCCCGUGUCCCAGGGGGUGGCUUUCCUGGUGAUUGGUUCCAGGGCCUGGCGGUGAUUCAGGCUGCUUGUUAGGGACAUGGGGGGACAUGUUUGUGUCCUGGGGAUGCUGAGCGAGGGGAGGAGCAGCCACCUGCGUCUGGGGAGGCCUCCAGGGCUUAUUCAUUCACUCAGUAGGCAACAUUCACCGGCUUCUGCUCCUGCCUGCUGUGCCCGAGGCUGGGGCUGCAGAGGGCUGAGCCGCCCGCCUGGUCCCUGUCCUUGGGAGCUCAAGCCAUGUCCCCUUUCUACCCAUCAGGUGGUGGCAGCUCUGAGCACUGGCCAGGCUGGGAUAGAUUCCUAGGUCUCUGUGCUCCCCUCUCCGCCAUCCCCACCCCAGCCAGGCCCCAGCCAGUUGAUUAAAGGAGCCGUCCAAUCCCUACUUGCUCUGGUCUCCCUGCUUCCUCCCAGGACCCCAGGAAGCCCUCCCCUGCUCAGCACCAGCCUGGGCGGCCCUCUCCCAUUCCUCAUAUCAUCUCAUUUAACACCCCCUUUACGGAGGAGGGAACGUGCCCGGGGCGCCCCUGAACUCGUGGGUCACAGGUGCAGAAUGGCACCAGGGUUUCUGUCUCCCUAGCUCAGCCCUCAGUGACGCUGGGUGGUGGCCAGAAGCUGGCCAUGGUGGGCAUGUUUAUGCCCUGGAAGUUGGCAGAGGCCACGUCAGGUGGCCCUUGGAUGCCAGCCCCUGGCUGCGCUGACCGAGGCCUUGCUCUGGGGCAGGACAGGUCAGGUUGGGGCAGCCACCAAGAACCCGGGAAGAGCAAGGUGACUUUCCCCAGGAGUGGCGGCCUCAGCCCGUUUGGCACUUUCACCAUCACGAGGAGUUUAAACUCCGCCGUGGCCCCUGCGCUCCCCUCCCCUUAACGGUGCGGGUAAGGGCGUGAGAACGGCUUCUCACUGGGCUCUGAGCGCCAGGCAGGACUCUGGCCUGGGUGGUGCAGGGUCCCCCGCAGGGACCUGAGGUGUCUUCUAGGGUGCACUGUGUGUUGCUGGGCUUUCUUCUUCUCCUUCCUUCAACCCUUGGUCUCAGUGUAGAGGUCAUCUCCUUGGGGACCUGGCCAUCCGAUCUACAGUACGCGUCUCUGUCCCCCAGUUUUCUCUUAAUUAUGUCUCUUUCCUUCACUGGACACAGGCUCCGUGGGUGGGGGGCUGAGGCCAGAGGAGCAGUCUGUGACCCCACUGUGGUUUAGCUGUGCUUCGUCCCUGAAAGGUACUGGUCCCUAGUGUGGUGGUGUCGGGGUGGUGGGACAUUUAAGAGAUGGAGGGUAAUAAGGUCAUGGGGCACCACUGUCCCCUAACACAGACCUUGUGCCCACAUAACGGCUUGUUAUAAAGAGAACCUGGCCCCUGCCUGGUCCCUUGUUUCCUUUCUCCCCGUGUGUCUCUCCUGCAUGUGCUGCC